rnacentral:tRNA from 1 species
AGCAGCGUGGCUCAGUGGAAAGAGCACGGGCUUGAGAGUCAGAGGUCAUGGGUUCGAUUCCCCUCUCUGCCU